rfam:Leucobacter sp. Ag1 JX03_contig_44, whole genome shotgun sequence.
GGGGCCGAUCGGUUUCGACACGUCGAUUUGAGACCGUGAGAAGCGGGCCGAGGACGCGGAGUUAUCUCGUAAACGCCCUUCGCAAACCAUAGGUGCCAACGCUAAGCGCACCGACUUCGCUCUCGCUGCCUAAGCAGUAAGACCGAGUCCGUCAGGUCGGGUGGGCCUCCGCCCCGGUUUCCUGGCGUCAUCUAGGGGGCUUGCUGAUGCGUCGCGUCUCAGGGCGCAUCGGGACUUUUUCUGAGACUGGGCCUGUCGUCCUAGCUGUUCGUGGCAAAGAACGGGGCCGAGUAGAACGCUUUCACGAACUACGCUCGUAGAAGGCACGGAAUCGUCGAAGUGGACCGGGGUUCGAUUCCCCGCGGCUCCACAG